rnacentral:ncRNA from 2 species
GCAUGAAUAGGCGAUGGAGUUCGCCAUAACCGCCGAUGAGGCUAAUGACUCCUACCAGAGA